GAUGAACGCUGGCGGCGUGCCUAAUACAUGCAAGUAGAACGCUGAAGGAGGAGCUUGCUCUUCUGGAUGAGUUGCGAACGGGUGAGUAACGCGUAGGUAACCUGCCUGGUAGCGGGGAUAACCUUUUGAAACGGUAGGUAAUACCCCCAGACAACAGGUAAUUCAAGGUAAACGGUUAAAAGGGGGAACUUCCUCCCUAACCAAAUGACCCUGCGUUGUAUUAGUUAGUUGGUGAGGUAACGGCCCACAAAGGCGACGAUACAUAGCCGACCUGAGAGGGUGAUCGGCCACACUGGGACUGAGACACGGCCCAGACUCCUACGGGAGGCAGCAGUAGGGAAUCUUCGGCAAUGGACGGAAGUCUGACCGAGCAACGCCGCGUGAGUGAAGAAGGUUUUCGGAUCGUAAAGCUCUGUUGUAAGAGAAGAACGAGUGUGAGAGUGGAAAGUUCACACUGUGACGGUAUCUUACCAGAAAGGGACGGCUAACUACGUG
rnacentral:rRNA from 1 species